UUGUCUCUGCAUUCUAACUGUCCCCACGAAAUAAAAGUUCUAUAAACCGUCUUUUUCGUCUUCUUUUUUAUAUUAACUGACAACAAUCUCUCUUGUCUUCAUCCGUUAAUCCUUUUUGAAAGAUGUACUGCAAAACAAAGGAAUUAAGAUUAUAAAUCUUAAUGAAUAUACGUAAAUACACAUGCCCAAACAAAGCGGUCGGGUGGGUGGGGACCCAUACCUUACUUAAGUUUGAUCAUAAAAUCUUAAUUUCAUUGCGUGCACUUCGUGCACUUAUAAAAUUUUCAAUUUUAUUUCUCAAACUUAAGUAAGGUUUAAAAAUGUAUGUUCAAAGUUGUUUAAUUAUUUAUGUAUA
rnacentral:lncRNA from 1 species